rnacentral:tRNA from 1 species
GGAGGGGUAUAGCUCAGUGGUAGAGCGCAUGCUUAGCAUGCAUGAGGUCCUGGGUUCAAUCCCCAGUACCUCCU